rnacentral:rRNA from 1 species
CCUACGGGAGGCAGCAGUGAGGAAUAUUGGUCAAUGGACGAGAGUCUGAACCAGCCAAGUAGCGUGAAGGAUGACUGCCCUAUGGGUUGUAAACUUCUUUUAUAUGGGAAUAAAAUGUUCCACGUGUGGGAUUUUGUAUGUACCAUAUGAAUAAGGAUCGGCUAACUCCGUGCCAGCAGCCGCGGUAAUACGGAGGAUCCGAGCGUUAUCCGGAUUUAUUGGGUUUAAAGGGAGCGUAGGUGGAUUGUUAAGUCAGUUGUGAAAGUUUGCGGCUCAACCGUGAAAUUGCAGUUGAAACUGGCAGUCUUGAGUACAGUAGAGGUGGGCGGAAUUCGUGGUGUAGCGGUGAAAUGCUUAGAGAUCACGAAGAACUCCGAUGGCGAAGGCAGUUCACUGGACUGAAACUGACACUGAGGCUCGAAAGUGUGGGUAUCAAACAGGAUUAGAUACCCUAGUAGUC